rnacentral:lncRNA from 1 species
GAUCAUUUUAUUAUAAGUAGCAUCAAAGUAGUCUAUGUGUACUGGAGGACUCUAUAGCAUAGGUCUAUUUUUGUUGACCAUAGGCUAAUCAUAGUAUCUGCAAUUAAACUUAUUUUGAUUUGGACGUUAAUUAGCAUGAUUUGUGAGGACACCAGAUUUUAAAUAAGGGGACUAUGUGAGGGCAUAUGCAAAUAUCUAUUUAGUCCCAUAUCAAC